GAUGAACGCUGGCGGCGUGCUUAACACAUGCAAGUCGAACGAAGCACUUUAUUUGAUUUCCUUCGGGACUGAUUAUUUUGUGACUGAGUGGCGGACGGGUGAGUAACGCGUGGGUAAACUGCCUUGUACAGGGGGAUAACAGUUGGAAACGGCUGCUAAUACCGCAUAAGCGCACAGCAUCGCAUGAUGCAGUGUGAAAAACUCCGGUGGUAUAAGAUGGACCCGCGUUGGAUUAGCUAGUUGGUGAGGUAACGGCCCACCAAGGCGACGAUCCAUAGCCGACCUGAGAGGGUGACCGGCCACAUUGGGACUGAGACACGGCCCAAACUCCUACGGGAGGCAGCAGUGGGGAAUAUUGCACAAUGGGCGAAAGCCUGAUGCAGCGACGCCGCGUGAGCGAAGAAGUAUUUCGGUAUGUAAAGCUCUAUCAGCAGGGAAGAUAAUGACGGUACCUGACUAAGAAGCACCGGCUAAAUACGUG
rnacentral:rRNA from 1 species